CAUUUGCCUUUUAUUUGAAAAGAAACAUCUUUUAAUUGUAGCGUGCUAAUGCCUCAAUAGAACACAAUAAAAGAAAAAAAAUGUGCAUAGUUAUAACAUAAAAAAAAUCGAAUUGAACAUACAGAAGAGCACUAACAACAUCACGCAUAAAAAUUCUGAGCAAAAGUAACAAGAGAAACCACUUGUCCAAAACAAUAACUAUCUAAGAGAACAAGAAUACCAAGGAUAAGACAUACAACAUGUGUAAGUGCUAAUAGGAGUAAGUAUCUGAAAGAACUGGUCCCAAAGUAAUAGCAGAAGGUGAACACACCUCUUGGUAUAGUACCACUCCCACAAGAUACCUCCAAUGAGAAGACGGUUACAAGAAAUCUCUAGUCAAACAAAAGGACUAUUUUUUCUUCCAUACUAGGUAUGAUCUAACAUCACAGAAAUUUCACAUUUUCCAUCCAAGAAUUCUAAUACCAAUUUGAACUUCGGAGUGACCUCGCCGGAGACGUUGCUUCUCAUUUGUUUGCUCUGUUGCUGCUCCAUCACUUUCAUGCUUGGUAACAGGGCCAGGCUGGUGAAGCUCUUCCUCCGGAAUAGUAACAGGCCAUUUAUGUCCAGCUUGACGGAACAUUUGCUCAGUCUCAAUGAGCUGACCCUUCUCCAAAAUUAUGUUUCUCAACGUCUGGGCAGAAACAGUAGCGCCGUCAAAAACCUCCUCGACUCCAUUGACAAAAGUGACGGUGAUUUGUGGAGGGUGAUCAUCGAUUCGGCGCUUGACCAAAACCUGGCAAGCGGGGUUCGAUUCCUUGGCCUUGCGGGCGUUGCAUUGGGCUAAGAAUUCCAUACAAGAGGCUAUACGAGGGUCUCGCCCAUUGAACUCAAUCCGCACCUUUGAUAGAAACUUCAGCAUCUUCUUGUCUCCGCUGCUCACCAAUUGUAUUUGGUAAAUGAACCAAGAUUUAGAGCAGCUUUAGAUCCUCUCAUGGAGUUCUGGUCCGUUGAACCGGUGCUUUUUUU
rnacentral:misc_RNA from 1 species